UGCGUAGGCGGACUAAUAAGUCAGUGGUGAAAUCUCUCGGCUCAACCGGGAAACUGCCAUUGAUACUGUUAGUCUUGAGUUCGGUUGAGGUGGGCGGAAUGUGUAAUGUAGCGGUGAAAUGCUUAGAUAUUACACAGAACACCAAUUGCGUAGGCAGCUUACUAGACCGACACUGACGCUGAGGCACGAAAGCGUGGGUAGCGAACAGGAUUAGAUACCCUGGUAGUCC
rnacentral:rRNA from 1 species